UCUGCCGCAUUUUACCCUAAAAAAAAUCUUCCGCAUUCUACGGCAGUUUCCAUUUUUUAGGUGCACAUUCUGCGCUAGAUUGUAGCUGCUCCGCACAGAGGCGAGCCACCAGCGAAAGAGAUGGGCCGGCCCGUAAUGAACACGCUACAGUAACCUGUUUUGGGACCUUCUAGGAGGUUCCUUUCCCCGGUUUUGGGAUCUUGUAGAACGUUCCUAAACUGGUUUUUUUCCUUUUUUUUCGUUGUUUGUAUUUUUCUUUUGUCCUGAUUAUUUAUUUAUUUAUUCUCUCCUUUUUUCCUUCCCUUUUUGUUUUUUAAUUCUGUUUCUCUUUUUGCUCAUUAUUUUCCAAAAAAGUUUAGAAUUUCAAAAAUUGUUCGCUUCUUUUAAAAAAUUGUUCGAAAAUUCAAAAAGGUUAGAAUUUUAACUUUAAAAAUGCUCCUAUUUUGUACAGAUUAAAAAAGGUUAGACAAUUUCAAAAAAUUCUCCCACUUUCCAAUCUGCUCACAAGUUUAGAAAAUGUUCAUAUUUUCAAAAUGUGUUCCCAAAUUCAUAAAUUUUUGGUGGAAUAUAAAAAAUAUUCACAUUUUUUUCUUUCACAAAUUCAGAAAACGUUUGGAAAUUUCAAAAAUAUGCCUGGUUUCCAAAUUUGUGCAUAAAUUCAAACAAUGCUCAUGUUUUUCAAAGUUUGUUCGCAAAUUCAACAAUAAUUCGGGGUAUUUCUAAAAAUGUCGGCAUUUUGAAAAAAAUAUCAAAAAUGAUCAAGUUGUCAAUUAUUGUUCUUGUUUUGCAAAAAAUGUUUUGCAUUAUGGAAAGUUGUUCUCAUUUUCAACUUUGUCGCUUUUUUGAAAAAAUGUUUGUGCUUUCACAAAAUGUUGAAGUUUUAAAAUAUUUGUGCAGAAAUUUGAAAACUUUCACGUUUCAAAAAAUAUUCACUUUUUGGAGAAAAAAGAAGAUCUCGUUUGAAAUUCCAGAGAAUUUUAAAAUCUAUUGCGGCUUGUAGUUCAUAAAAACCGGGCUGCCAUUCUGGACAUCAAAUAUGAGGAAUUACGGUGGCUGGCGACGUUGUUCACUUGCAAGCUGUCCUCGGUUCGACGCCUCACACAAACUUUUGUUUUUGAGAGUUUUUCUGCAAAACUGUGUUUAAGUUUUGCCGCUGCCGUUUGUUUCUUUAAGUAUCGCGCUGCAGAUCUAGCACUAGAGGUUGUCUGUCGCGGCGGCUCGCGGCAGCACCGACUAUUAGAAAUCUGUUAGUCCACAUGUGGCGUGUGAACAAGGAAAGUAGUGUACCCUAAUCAGCGCGCGAAUCAGUACGAAGUCAUGGGUUGGAAUCACAGCGCUGGAAUGGGCCGGGCUGGGCCUGUGCGAAACGCCGUCUCUUUGCGGAGGAGGUCCCUCCUGGAUGCACGGCGCCGCGCCAAACCAGGCGAUGCGCGCACAUGGCAUAUCUGUUUUUUGCGCGCGGCGCGACCGGCGGCUGUUGGAGAUGCUUUUAGAUUGAAUCACAGCGCUAGAAUGGGCCGGGCCAGGCCGGGCCUGUGCGAAACGCCGGCUCUUUGCGGAGGAGGUCCGACGGAAUGAAAUAUGCCCGCGGCCCCGUGCGCCGUCGCUGGCGUGGCAUAUGCCCCGAGAUAUUCCUACCCUCCUCCAUUCAUUUUUCUUAGAGCUUCGUUUUUCUUAUCUCCUAACCCUCUCCCUCCUAGUACUUCCGGCAAGGCGAGUCAAAGCAAGGCGAGCAUGAGCAGCGACACUCUCACUCCCGAUCCAGGCAUGCACAUGUGCUCUGCUACAUCAUUGUCUGGCCGAAACCACCGCAUUUUUCUAUGCCAACUCCGGCAAGGAGACGGGGUCGACCGAUCCAGAUCCCAGCUGCCAUGCCAUGCAUGCUCGCGGCGAGUUCCUACGUGCGGCGCCACCGGAGAUGGCUGGAUCUGUGCCUUCCGCUGGUCUUCCUUGCCGUCAAUACCGCCGUGGAUCUGCCUCGGCCUCUGCCUGGCUGGCCGUGCAGGUGCGGGCGCGGGAUCUGGGGAGCGAUUCGUGGGAGGAGGGCAGGUGAGACCUCCACCAGAACGGCAAGGAGCAAGGGAUCGUCCCCCAUAUGCGCAUAGCAUAGAUCGAUCGGGACGUACGUUUUGCAUAUGCUGAUGCCGUCACGUGGCGUGGCGCCGUGGGAAAUGCGUGCCGGCCGGUCCGCUCUGUCCGAUCAAGUUGGUGCAGGCACUACCGCCGGAAUUUAAAAAGUCCGGUCGUCUUUCUCGAAUGGAAAACAGAGAAGAACGGCCUGCUUCUAGCUGUUGGUGGUGUUGAGUUGGCCGUUUCAUUUUUAUUUAUUUAUUUAAGCGAGGUGAGGUUUGCUGUUGGGGUGUUGGUGACUGAUCUCAUCUCAUCACAGCUCAGUUCUACUAGUAGUCCGUAGGUCACAACAACCGAUGGGAUGGAGUGAGGGAGUGAGGGAGGGAUAUCCAUGCGAUCGCGACGUCUACGGUGGUUCGGAGUUGCUCGGAAAUCUCCCUCUCUCUCUAUCUCUUCUCGCUCGUCACUACCCACUACUAGUAUUAGGAGCGUCACACGGCACAAGAGUGGUGGUAGUGUACAAACUGAGGCUCCUCCGUCUCGAGUACGUGUGCGCGCGGUAGUUUCUUCCCGCCUUCAGGCCAACAGUUCUACGUUAGGUAAACAACGACGGAGAGACACGGACCAACGGGCACUGCCGUCGGUAUUCUACGGACGUACUCCUGUGAUAUGAUAAUCGUACGAUCGCCGUCGAUGACAGACACCCAGACCCAGUCCAUCCGUCUCGUAUUCUCUCGUAUUCUCAUCCUGGUGAGUGGUGACGACGACCGGAUCCGGAUGCACAGACCAACUUCAUCUCUUUCUCCUUCUCGAACGAGUGCACCAUCUUCCGAUGGGCGGGUGGCGUACGAAACAAGGGUGCUGGCAUCAUUCGGCCGUUCCGGCCGGACGUGGACAGCGCGAUCGCGGCGGCAGGUGGGAGAUCGGAGGCGCGCACGCUGGCGGCACGGCCGGCCGAAUGAUUGCGCUGCCGCCGCUGCUUUCCUUCCUUCUCUCCGGCCCGCCUACGUACGUACGCACGUCGCUAGUAGUACGUGCAACUUUUUUUUUGAACUGUUGUAUGUACUGUACGUGCAUCUUUUGCAAGUUGGCGCUCCCCGGCGAUGCAUGCAUGGAUGGACGUCCGGUUGGCGGUUGCGGCGGGCCAGCCGUGACCACGUUACCCUCUCGCCCAUGUUUGGAAGUGUCGGGGGCGGGGCAGGGCAGGGCACGGUGGGGAGCGUGCCGCCGCCCGCCCGGCCCCGGAUGUGCCUCUCCAUCGGCUGCGGUUUUCUACGGCGCCGGAGCACCGACGGCGGCGCGUCCACAUCAGGCCUCUAUCGUGGACAUGGCCACGCCCGUCCGCACCAAAUCGUCAUGUUAUAUCAAUGAUCACCAUCCGCCACACAGAGCGCGCUUCAUAUAGAUGUGUAGGCCGUGACGGCUAUGCGCACACUCAGAGUCGUCAUAUCUCAGCCUUCAUGAACAAUUUCAUCUUUACUCAUUCAAACAUUUCGAUGGCCGCCAAAAUUUAACAUUCGACACAUUAAUGCAAGCAGUGUACAUGGUCUUUGACAAUUCCAAUGAAGGCGAAAUGCCCGAAUCGCAUGCCUUCGUUGUCUGCACCGUCCCCUUUCGCCGGCAUUUGCAACGUUCCCUCCUUCGACGUGUGCAUUGGGCUCUUCUUCGAGGUUCCUCAAACGUAUGGUGAUGUUCUACGGCUUUGCCCAAAAUUAUCGAGCCACUGGAUCCAUUGUGCUCGGAUCCAUCAUGAUAAAUUGAUUCUUGGUGUUCAUGCGGUUAUCUCUCGCCCGAUUUUGCCUUAAUUUGGAGCCCACGCGGCUCCAUCUCGAUCUUAAGUUGGAGCCCCUUGUCCUCAGUGACUGGCUGAUGCAGUUUGCUCUCAUGCAUAACCUCCCGUCUCGCCUUCUUCUCUUCAUUCUUCUUCUGCUCCAUCUCUAGCUUUUCGUGCUUUCUCUUCUCGCCGUGUUUGUUUCUUGCCUUUAUCAACUCACCGAUCUUUUUUUUUCAUCGCCUCCACCUCUCCUUCUCUCUUAAGCUUCUCAUUUUAUCUCUUCCUCCCGUCAGGGCGACCCAUGAUAGCUGGUGGAAUGGUACUUCUAGGCACAUUUGCCCUUUCCUCUUGAUCAACAUCAUUUGCGACAUCGUCCAUCUCUGAAGAGAAAUUGGCACCCUCCAUAUAUUUUGACUUGCCAUUCUCAUUCCACGUGCUCUUCCAACAAACCCAACAAUGUUGGAGGCAAAAUGGUUUGCUCUUUGACUUGGCCAUUUAUCUGUACGUCGCUUGGAUUAUGGCGUCCUAAAACAAACAAGUUCACAAAUUGAUGAUAAUGCUCAAAGUAAUGGAAAUGUGGCAAUCAAAAAACAACAACAAUGCCUAUAUAUUGAGCAAUGGUAGAACCGCUAGGAGGAACGUACUUCACUUGCUCCUUAUAGAACGCCCAAGACUACAGAUCUCUUGAAUCAUACCCCGUCAGUUUGUUAGAGAUUUGAGGCUACUUUCAUUGUCCACCAAAGAUGAAAUAUGAAACAUUCAUCGAUGCAUGCCCAAUACUUUUUGUUGAAUGGUCCUUCCCGACAAUCGUAUUGAGAGAGAGAUAUUGCCAUGCCCGGAUAAGAGUAACAUGCUCGGUCUUGAGCGAGAGAUAUUGACAUGCCCGGUCUAGAGUACUUGAGAGCACUCGGUGCUCAGGAUACUCAUAGGCUUUUGGAGAUGAACAAAGCCCGUGGGUUUUCAGGUAUGCUUGGGUCUAUCGAUUGCAAGCACUGAAAGUGGAAGAAUUGUCCUACAACAUGGCACGGACAGUUCGGAGGACGCUCCAAGGAUGCCACCAUCAUUCUUGAGGCCGUUGCCGAUAAAGAGACAUGGAUUUGGCAUGCAUAUUUUGGGACCUGGAUCUUGCAACGACAUCAAUGUGCUCAACAGAUCACCUCCUUUUACCAAGUUAGCCAACGGAGAAGCUCCACCAGUGACCUUCGAAGCAAAUAGCCGCGCCUACAACUAUGGGUACUACCCAUGCGGAUGGGAUCUAUCCGAAGUGGAGCACUUUUGUGAAGACAAUCCAAACCUCCUAAGGUAAGAAAGAAACAAUGCUCAAGCGGCAACUAGGAAAGAUGUUGAGUGGGCAUUUGGGGUUCAUAAUCCCAAAUUGCUAUUGUGUUAGGACCGGCUAGAUUCUGGGAUCAGAAAAACCUUUUGCACAUCAUGACUACUUGUGUGAUCAUGCACAAAAUGAUCGCUCGGAAUCAGGGUGGGCACGAUUUGGAUUAUACCGUCUAUCAUCUCAUGGGCGUACAUGCUCGGAGGAUUAGAAGAGAGGACCGAGUCCGACGUUCCAUGGAGGUGUACCAUGGCAUUAGAGAGGUCCAUACGUGCAAUGAUCUUCAGAAAGAAGUCAUGAAGGAGUGGUGAAAAUGGCAUAGGGAUCAAGCCUCCUAGUUUCAUUUCUUUGUUUGUUGUAUUGUGCAAGGAUUUUGUUGUAUUUUAUGUUGCAUUCCAUGUUGUGGAUUUGAUAAACUAUGUAAUAUUUUGAUGUUGAGAACUAAUAAAACUUUUGGGAUGAUUUUUAUUUCAAAUUGUGUGGUUUUAGCGCCGCUGCCAUUGGUCGUAAAAAUCGCACCUGACCCCGCAUAUAUUCCUCGCCAUCCGCUCUCCGGACACCCUAGCCACCUCACACUCCACUACCCUCAACUCCAUAUGCCACCCAAGCUCACCUCCAGCGAUUUCCAGCCGUCUACGACAUGACGGGUAGCGGAUUUGACUCCGGUCAAUCUGGAUCCGUCGACUGAGGUGUCAUCUCGUGCGGGUUGGAGGAGGUAAUGACGGUCUGCAUUGCACUCCGCUGCUCCAGGGGGACAGCGCCCGACCGACGGAAGGAUCUGUCCGGCGUGACUCCAUAGCGUUGGCUCGACGGGCGUUGGGUCCACUGGAGCUGGAUCAUCGUGGUCCAGGCAGCCGAAAAAUCUCUCCUCCAUCAUUGGUCGGGCAGACUAUGAGUCCCAUCGGGAACGGACGGCCCGCCGUGGGAAGGAGAGGAUAAGGGCCGCCGAGGCCCAUAUCGCGGCAAAAAUGGUGGUGGUUGAUGCGGUGGCAUGGGCGACCGUAGAGGAGGAAGCCAUCCGCGCCUACAUUGUGAAGAAACGGCACCGGAGGAACACGCGCGUCCUCGGCCGAGAGCAGAAUCGGACGGCUCAUGCCAUGGCCGGACUGCCACCGAAGGAGGAGAAGGAGGACAACGGCGACGAGAACAGCUCUGGCGACGAGCGGAUCCAGCUCGGUCCACCGAUACUUCCGCGAGAAGGACGGCAAGGGUGCUGGAAAGGGCAAGGGCAGCCGUGGAUGAUCUCCGCCAUAGCCAAACAUGCCAAAUUUUGGUAGUCCGGUGGCAUGUUAGUAGUGAUGGGGUAGCCGAACGAUGUAUGUAAUGCAUCGACGUUGUUACAUGAGUUUGUAUGAAUUUGAGAUAUGAUGAUUGAGGUGUUUGGUUGUGAAAAGGCAAAUGUAGGACCUGACCGGUCAAUGUCCACAGAGGUGCCCCGGUGUUUGAUGGGCAGGAUUUGUAAACUCCGGCUGUAUGUGUUCUGUUUCGAGUCAAGCAGGAACGGAGUCAAUCAUGCGUGUGAUGAAGGACGAUGCAUCUAUAUGUACGUACGUAGUUUCACGAAAGCGAGAAACAAGAUAGAUGGAGCACGCACACAUGGCUGACAGCCGAGGCCGAGUCCCAAGUGCAGGCACCAUAGCUGAGCAAUAAUGCCCCACGUGUGGGUGUGGCUUCAUCAAAGUGAAUGAACUCAAAAAACGGCCCUUGGACUGAAAGGUGAAGCAUCGAUGCCCAUGAACCGAACGAAAUUUCACUGCACAGCAACUGCAAGCGCAAGCACGGAAAGGCCCGGUCCUCCCCAGAUCAACCAAUCAAAGGCGCCUACGUGUCCAUGGCCCUAGUCUGGCCUAGUCUAGCCUAGCCAGUCCGGGCCAACCGCGAACCGCCACCGCCGUGCGCGCGGCGCCGCCGAUCCGCCACCGUCACCGGACGGACGCGCGGCGCCCCAGACAAUCGGGGGAUGGAUGGAUGGAUGGAUGGGGUCCGUGGCCGCGGAGGACGCGUUCACGCGGCCGUGCUCGUCAAUUUGGAGCGGAGUAGCCCUUUUCCGCCCGGCCCCGGCCCCCGGCCCGCGCGACGGAACCGGUGCGCCACCAACCCCAAUCAUGCAUGCGCGCGCGUCGGCGUCGGCGUCGAUCGACCAAUGGGUCGAUGGAUCCUACUACCAGCAGAGGCUCCAGCCCCCAGCUAGCGUGACGCCGGCAUCCCAAGCUACUUUCUGUCGGUCGGUCUUUCUCUACGCGCGCCUCUCCCCCGUCUUUCACCCCCCGAUCCGAUCCGUGCGAUUCCACGCCGUUCGACGGUGGAACUUGAACAGAGGAUGGACGAGUAGUUAAUUUAUAUGUAUACUGCGUGACAUGGAGGGAGGAUUGGUUAAGCCAUUUGUACAGGUUGAAGGCCUCAAUCAAUCAAUCAAUCAAUCGGCUGGUUGACAUGUAUGGGCGAUCGAUCUUCCCCUUUGUCUGCUCGGCUGGUCAGUGACCUCACUCGCCCACGAUGCGGUUUGCUGAAGCAUGCGCCUAAUACCAUAAUUUUUCUCAGUAUUAUCAGCGGCUGAGAUAUCACUUUAGCUGGCCCGAUCGGCGCUCGUAAUACACUCUGGAAGACCGAGACCUCGCACUCAUAAACAAUGGCUAAAUCCAAGUAAAAAAAUCAUUUACUCUACCAAUAUGCAAUUAGGGCAUAUAAAACGGUAGCAUACGGAUACAUAUGCCGAUGACAAAAAGUAGUUUGAGGCAUCUAAACCACGGAUGUGUAGCCUGCGUGUGUGCGGAUCUGAGCCACGAAAAGGGCAUGCUUGCAUGGCUGCGGUUACGUGCAGGCGCAACCACUGAAUCAUAGAGUGGUGCAGUGCAGUGUACCACCAACGAACGGUCGAUCGAUCUGGUAGCUAGCUAGCUACUGUCCAUCGACAUCACCCACUGCAUUGCACUGGACUGGAGUGCGCCCAACAGCCAGCCAGCCAGCCAGCCCGGCUGCCUUGAACGAACUGCCCACCCCGUGACGCCUACCCCGUAACCAACCUCCUAAUUUCUGUUGCAUCCUUCUUCUUCUUCUUCUUCUUCUUCUUCUUCUUCUUUUUCUUCUUCUUUGCGACUAAAAAACUUGUUUGCCCCGUCAUUUGUAAUUCUAGCCCUCAUCAAAGAGGAGGCGGCACUUUGGGUCGCCGCCGGUGCUAAUAAGUUGAGUUCAAUCAUGUCGGGAGAGUAGUCCCUUUGUAAGGUGGUGUUGUAAUCCCUCUAACUCUUUCUUCUCUCUUAAUUAAUAUAUGAGGCAAAUCUUUUGCCUCCUUUCAAAGAAAAAAAUUUGUUGGAUUCGAACAGCCACGUGGCUUUACCGAAUACUAGCACCAAAAAAAGCCAGGGUGAUUUGGGUUUCACUUUUCAGAUUUACCACCAGCUCGCUCUUUACACCUUGGCUCGACAGGCAGGCAGUGUGCCUCCAGCUGUAGAGAUAUUGUUGUUUAUGCUCCGAUGGUACAUUUUUGUCUCUUUGUACUGUUCGGGCGUUUGCACAGGAGCAGGGCUUUGUCGGGACGGGCGGGCGGGCAGGAUUUGGUUAGGCAUCCGAUGAGGCAGGAACGGGUUAAUUGGGCAUCCGAUGAGCAGGGUUUGGUCAAGAUUAGUGUGAGCAGGGUACCUGUAUGUACUACCUCGUCUGCUGACACUGCUUCUACUAAGAGCAUCUGCAGGUGGACAUUGCAGAUUUGAUCCAUCAAACACGCGCGGAUGGGUCAUAUUUCAAACAAUCGAUUCCACAACCGGUCAUCUCAAAUUGAAAACCACAAAUUCGUAUUAGGCUGCCGGACAAGCUCAACGUAAAUCUAGUUUUAAGUUGAGCUUGUCCGGCGGCCGGCUGCACCCCUUAGAAUGUUGGUCCAGUCGCUGGCGAGGUAGAGUAGGACAUGAGACAUGGCUCGGCUAACAGAACUCAAGGCGCCGCCGUCUCUCAUGCCCUACUCGUUCUCGUCGGUGCCCGGAACCUGACGAUGCCGAUGAACGUCAGAUCGAUGAUGGAUCCGUCCUCCACGACAUCCACCACGACGCGGUUACAGUGCCCGGACUGGUACGGGGCGCUAGAGAAUGCGACAACGCCUCGCCAACGUCCACCACUGCGAGGGUUGUCGCCGUCUCCCGCGCCCGCUACUUCGCAUGGCGUGUCAUGUUUGCGUCGGACGACACACAUGCGUUCACCUCCUGCUCAGCGGGGCAAUGGAGGGGUUGCACGUCCGCCCCCACGUUUAGACUCUAGACAGACCGCACCGACUUUUGUGAGGCAGCGGCGACACGCCUCACGACGGAUCCAUGCGCCAUUUGGGAGGAUGCAAUCGAUUCUCGACAGAAGGACUCCGACCGUUGCCGUCAGGCGGCCUCCUCCAGGGAGCGGCGGAGCGCAAACCAAAUGAUCAUCUUUUCCUCGAGGCCGCUGAAAGAACAUGCGGUGCCCCCAUGUUUGGUUUUGGUAAUUGAUGACAAUCUCGAUGGACUAAUGGUUGCCUUGAGUUAUAUUUGAAGAUUUUGUCCAUAGGCUUUUCUUGGAGUACAUGUGUUGGUUUUAAUGAGAGUUUGUGUCGACCAAGGUGCUAUUCAAGGAAUUACCUAAAGAUUGGUCUUGUGAGAGGUUGAUCAAGACUAAGUCAAAAAGUGAAUCAAGUUGAUCAAAGCGUAGAAGAUGUACCGAGAGGGAUCAAGUGAUCCCAUGGUAUGGUAAGCAUUGUCAAUUACGCUUUGUGUACUAACCCAUGGUCUUCGUGAGGGUUCUUUGUGGGGUUAGGUUGCGGUGUGCAAGUUCAAGUGGAUCGUCACGAAGAGAUCAAAUGCUUGAAGCUUGCCGUCCUUUAUGGUGACAAUGGACUUGUGAAGAUGUGCGGAAGAGUGGCUCACCCAUAGUGGAGUAUGGGGGAGCAAUCAACUAGUCUUCAUCGAGUCAACACAAUCAAGAAAGGUUGCGGUGUGCAAGUUCAGGUGGAGCAUCACGAAGAGAUCAAAUGCUUGAAGCUUGUCGUCCUUUGUGGUGACAAUGGACUUGCGAAGAUGUGUGGAAGAGUGGCUCACCCAUAGUGGAGUAUGGGGGAGCAAUUAACUAGUCUUCAUCGAGUCAACACAAUCAAGAAAGGUGGUCCAACUUGAGGGAGUCAAGAUCAUCAUCAUCUAGUUCAAGUGGACCAUGUGCAAGGCAAAGGUUUUGCCCUUGAUAGGUUUUCUAUUUUACCGGUCUCAUGAUGGUAGUUGGGAGAUCGGGUUAUAGGAUCGAUUGCCGUACUAUCAGGGGGGGCUCUCGAUGAGUAGCUUGAUUGUAUCGUUCGUUGAGAGCUCAAACCAUUGCAUCCUUGCAUCAUCUUUCUUGGUUCUUGUUUGGUUCUUUUUUUGAGUCUUAGAAUUUAUGGUCAUCUUGAUGACAAGCUCGAGUUCAUCAAAAACGGGGUUCACAUGCUUCUUCUAUGAUGUUUUCGAUGUUGGAGGUUAUGCCGGUUCUUCUCGGUUGGAGGCUUCACUCCUCUAUUUGUUAGCAUACCUCCCCUGCCUCUUCUUACUAUAGUCAGUCGCUGUUUUGAUGCUACUCGUCGUCUUGUUUCCAACAAGCUUGAGUUUGCUCAAUUCGGAGCUCAUAUGCAGAAGUUAUGGCAGUUCUGGUUUUCCGUGGAGUUUACUUGCUUUCGUGGAAGUGGCAUAAUGAUGGCGCCAGCGGUAGUACCGCUGGGCCGGAGCGGCAGUACCGCUUAUCGCUACAAGCGGUAGUACCGCUGUCCCAUAGCGGUAGUACCGCCCAUGACCAUAAGCGGUAGUACGGCUCCGGUUCCGCGCUGGUACCGCCUCGACUCGAGACGUGGUUUUCUCGUGUCAGGUUCAGUGGCAGUAGGAGCGGUAGUACCGCUCAUGUGCGGUAGUACCGCGGCUACCACCACCCAUAGUGUCGCUCAAUGGCCCUCCUCUCUGUUCCUUCUCCCUGUGCUCGUGGUAGGCAUUGUGCGCGGUCCCAGUGGUAGUACCGCCAGGCCGGAGCGGCAGUACCGCUUAUCGCCACAAGCGGUAGUACCGCUAUCCCAAGCGGCAGUACCGUUGCGGCCAACGGUAGUACCGCUGGCUCCAGCGGUAGUGCCGCUCAUACGGCUCUGCCUCGCACUCUGUUUCUCUCCGCUCUCUGUGUUCUACCACCCGAGCGGUAGUACCGCUCAUACGCGGGCUGAGCACAUAACGGUUGGAUUCGGGAGCUCCUAUAAAAGGGGGUCUUCUUCCCCAUUCAACCUUAUCCUUUGAGCUCGUGUUCUUCCCCCAUUGUUGACCUUCUUCGAGCUUGCUAACUCUCAAUCCCUCCAUGGAUUCUUGCUAGUUUUUGAGGGAAAAGAGAGGAGAUCUAGAUCUACAUUUCCACCAAUCACUUUCUCCUCUAUGUGAGGGGAACCCCUUGGAUCUAGAUCUUGGAGUUCUUUGUGUUCUCUUUCUUGUUCUUCCUCUCAUUUUCCUCCCUAGCAUUAGUUGCUUCGGUGGGAUUUGAGAGAAAAGGACUUGGGCACUCCGUGUGCCCUUGCCAUUGCAUUUGGUGCAUCGGUUUGAGUUCUCCAUGGUGAUACGUGGAAGUUACAAGUUGAGAAGCUUAUUACUCUUGGGUGCAUGGUACCCUUGAGCUUGUUCCUCUUGGGUGCUUGGGCGCCCUAGACGGUCGGUGGUGUUCGGAGCUCAAUCAUUGUGGUGUAAAGCUCUGAGCAAGCGUCGGGGUCUCCAAUUAGAUUGUGGAGAUCGCACCGAGCAACUUGACGGGUACCGGUGACCGCCCCCAAGGGUUGCCAAAGUGUACGGGUUCGGUGACCGCCCCCAAGGGUUGCCAUUUGUACGGGUUCGGUGACCGCCCUCAAGGGUCCCUUAGUGGAAUCACGACAUCUUGCAUUGUGCGAGGCAUGAGGAGAUUAUAGUGGCCCUAGUGGCUUCUUGGGGAGCAUUGUGCCUCCACACCGCUCCAAAAGGAGAUUAGCAUCCGCAAGGAUGUGAACUUCGGGAUACAUCAUCGUCUCCGCGUGCCUCGGUUAUCUCUUACCCGAGCCCUUUACUUAUGCACUUUACUUUGUGAUAGCCAUAUUGUUCUUUGUCAUAUAUCUUGCUAUCACAUAGUUGCUUAUCUUGCUUAGCAUAAGUUGUUGGUGCACAUAGGUGAGCCUAGUUGUUUUAGGUUUUGUGCUUGGCAAAUUAACCUUUAGGUUUAUUCCGCAUUUAUUCAAGCCUAAACCAUAGUUAUUUUAAAGCGCCUAUUCACCCCCCCCCCUCUAGGCGACAUCCACGAUCUUUCAGCCGCGUGAGAUGAGCUUGGGGUCGACGGAUCUGGAGGUGUAGGACUCAUAUCCUCUACCUGCGAUGCCGGAGUUCGCCGGAUGGGAACUUGUAUGACGGAGUGGAGUGGAGUGGCUAGGGUUUGGUCGGGGGAGCGGAUGAGGACGAAUAUAUGUGGGGUUGGAUGGGCCAGCGUGGGCUAGCUCUGAUGUGGAGGACACGCCCGGCCGCACUCGGGCAUCCCCAUAUCCGCCCCCAUAUUCAGGUUGAUUAUGAUGGUUGCCGGUCAGCUCGGACAUUUGAGGUUGUUUUGAAGCGCCCGUCUGGGUCAGUUUUCUUUUACCGGUCAGUGACCCAACCGUUUCAUGCGGGCGUAUGAAAAGGGAUUUGAGACCACGGUUGUAGAUGCUCUAAUAUCUGCUACUCACCUGUUAGUAGAAUGGACUUUUAAUUUUGACACAAUUAUAUGAGAGUGAUGUUAUAAGCUAGGGCAUGUCUAGGGAACAUCUAGACUAGUUAUUGCACAUCUAAAUGGCUUAAUUAUAUAUAAACAGGAAAAGAACCACCCACAUGAAUCUUCGCCUAAAAAUAAACCAUAUAUAAUUUAGAUGUACAAUUCUUAGGGCAUAUUCAUAUGUGCUUUAGCAAAACAGUAUAAACUACACACAAAUAUAUAUUGAAUUACAUUUCAAAGUUAGAGAAGUUUAACUACUUAGAUGGGCAGGGAAUGUCUACAAGACAAUCAUUAUUUUUAAUUAGUGAUGUGGUUAAUAGCGCCCUUUAUGGUAUGCAAGGGUGAUGGCUGAGAUGACCAUCAGUCCAAGGUGCCCACUCUUGCGACAAUAUGACCAAAAGGGAACAGUCGAAAUGAAGAUGAAUCCAUCUAAAAAAAGAUGAAUUGGUUAGAGAUAUGCCAUUGUAAUAUCCAUAGCAAUGAUCAUUUUUUUUGUAUGUACGACAUUCAUAUGGCAUGGAUUCCCUUUUUUACUCAAUAAUAUGGGCUAGGUCCUUUUCUUUGUCAUCAGUUUUGUUGAUAGACACUAUAGACAAAGUUUAUUGUCUUGACUCACACUCUCUGCAUUUUAAACCCGAACCGGAAAACCAUGCCAAAAAUAGAUGGAACGGAACUAAUUUUGUGGUUUUAUAGUUUUUGAUUUUUAGUACAGUAUGAAAAUUUCCUACCAUUUUGAAUUUUGGGUUCCAUGGUAUAUAGCUAAAAACCAAACAGUUGACCGAAUUACAAAAAUAUAUUUAUACUUUUUGAGCGAACGACCAUACAAGGACUCGAUCACGUAAGCACGUGAGCUUGUCUCGCUUGCAUUGUCCAACAUUCACGCGCUCAAGCAUAGAUCUUACAUCUGCUCAUCAUCAGGUAGGUAAGCAAGGUGGUACUAAAGUUGCUGCCGUCGUUCAUAUAGACUGAUUGGCCGGUGACCGCAUACAAGAUUAAGAGAAGUUGCGACCUACUCACUCAAGCUCAUGGGAAAGUUAAUGGGUAGACCAAAAUCCCAAAAGAGCUUGUAAUGCAGACAUUUUUCUUGUACAUGAGUAUGAUUCCCUACUAAGCACAUCCAUUUCUAUUGUAAAUAGUCAUUUUUCUGGAAAAAAAAGCUAAGCACGAUCAUAAACAAAGCAAAGUAUGCAUUGCACAUUUGCAUGCACGACCAGCCAUCAAGGAGUAAACACAUCCAUGCAUAUGUACGUAUUUGUAGUUAUAUAUUGUUUGUGAAUCUAAGAACUUUCGAAGUAUAUCUUUAAGAUUGUUCAGGUGAUCUGGAUCAAUAUUUAUGAUGGUUCACUGCCAUCCAUAUUAAUUGAAUAGUAGGACUUCCCAAUCCAAAAGAUUCUUCAAUAGACAGUUUUAUUUCAUCAUUAUGCCAAGCUUCAUUGAUCAGAAUUUUUCAAUAUUUCAAUAAUCAGCACAAAAAGGUAGGCGAGAUAGAUGAUCCCCCUAUAUGAUACCUCCUUUGCAAACAAUUCUUUUGCCAGUCGCACCAUUAAGUGUAACAUGGGUUAUAGCAGAGUUCAGUAUGCUCCUUGUCCACAUGAUCCAUUUCCCCCAGAUCCAACUGUUGAAGCGUGAAAACAAUAGCACAAUGGUCUAUCUUAUCAAAUGUCCUUUUCUUAACCAAUCCUAGAGAUAAAAAAAUCUCUUUUUGAUUUGUGGCAGAUUUGAAGGUAUUCAAAAGCCCAAUGUAAGAAUCUAGAAUAUUUAUGUUUUUAACGAACACACAUUGAUUAUUGCUACGUAUAUGAUAUUUUUCUGCACUAUGUUAGCUAGUAUUUUUGUUAAAACUUUAAUAGGCAUGCUUAUAAGGGAGAUUGGUCUGUAGUUUGUUGUAGAUUCAGAAGUAUCCUAGUAAUGAGUGAAAUGCAGAUAGUGUCAACAAGUUAUCAGUUCACCUUUUUCAUCAUGAAAGUCAAAACAGAACCUAUAAAAUUGAUUUGUAAUAACAUGCCCACACCUCUAAAUGAAAAAACCAUCGAAACCAUCUACUUGUAGGGAUUUAUCAUUGUGCAUACAAUUAACAACCUGGUCAAUCUUAUGAGUGAUGAGUGUGUAUUCCAAAUGAUUGAGAUUAUUAUUUGUAGCUAAAGCCAAGUAUCAUUGAUCUUUCGUCGGUGGUGAAAGGGUCCCGAUGCUUUUCUCUAGAUAUCUCUAAUUGCAUAUUAAAAAUGUCAAAUAAAAUGUUCACGCUACUAGUUAAAUGUGUCAUACUACUUAUGAGUAACAUAACAACUUUGUACUAUACGUCCACCUUUUUAAUUACAAUAUCUACUGAAAAUGUUCAUGCUCUCAGAUAAAUAAUAUGUGUGUAUUUAAAAAAUGUCCAUAAGUUCAAAAUGUCAUAGAUUUUAAAAAAUGCUCACACAUCCAAAAAUGUAGUUGUGUUUUUUCAUAAAUAAACAGAAGUGGUGAAAGUAAUUUGAAUCAAAAUGCAAAUGAAGAUAAUGUUUUCUUGUUGAAACACACAAAAAAGGAAAAUUAAAAUAUAGAGAAGGAGGGGGGGGGGAUAAUAAGAUAUAAUAAUAGAAGAAAAGGACAGGUAAAAGAAGCCAAGCAACCAGUAAUUGGCCGUACCAAAAAGGGGUGCUAGCAUAGCAUCCUUAGUUCACACAAUGAGCAUGGGAAACCUCUAAAACAUGCACGCUUAACAUGUUGGAGCUUAAUUCAAAUUAGACAUGGAAUUCUAACAUGCCUCUAGCAUGGAAAGCCAAUUAUGGAGACAUCUAUAUAUAGGAAGGGUGAAGGCUUUAGCCAUUUUCGGAACCUACCCAUCGAUAAGAAGUGCCCAAAUUUGCCAAUCCAAAUAUGGAAGUCCAGGCCCACAACGCUCCUCCCCUAAUGGGUUAUUUGAAAAACCACGAGGAGAAAAAGAAUGUAAUAUAAUUAUAGUUGCACCAACACACUAUAUCAAUUGUAUUUCUGCUAUGAGUAUACGCGUCUCAAGAUAUGGAUUUUCUGUAAAACCGAAAACAUGUAGAAAACAUCAAGUGGAUUUGGGCACUAAAUUAAUAGGUUAGUCCAGAAAAAUAAUAUAAGUUGCUAUAAUUUUUUUUCAAAAGUGAUAAUGUAAUAGCAUGAAACAAUCACAAAUUAUAGAUACAUUUGAGACGUAUCACAGACUUCAUGUGGAAAUCUCAGGCACCUCUUCAGUGUCGUUUCUUUACAUGGCUGGCACCACGGAAUAGAUGAAGGACUUCGGGCUGACUGGCAUAGAGGGGUUUGCCUCACCAGGAAGUGUGCUUGCUAUGUGCAGGUUGAGGACAUGAUCGACCACAUCCUACUCACGUGUGUGUCCGCAAGGACCGUGUGGACUCAGAUCUGUUUGCCGCUGGGCAGGCCAGAGUGGACACCAACAACAAAUGGCACGCUCAUCAAAUGGUGCUCGGACGAAGCUGCUAGGAGAUACAUACCUAAGGAAUUCCGUGCCAUGUUCAUCCUCGCCCUCUAUGGCAACUAUGGAUGCAUCAAAAUGCCGUAGUGUUCGAUAGGGGACUCGCCCUUACGACCGAUAGUGGUCUCACGAAUUGCGAAUGAAGGUGGGGCAUGGCGAUAAGUGGGCCUUCUAAAAGGAGAUUUGGAUGUUUUUUCGGUGCUUUAGCCAUGUGGGCGAGAGGGGAGUAGUUUUUUUGUGAUAGUUUGAUGCAUGUUGGGUGGAGUUCUUAUGGUGUCUGGUGGGGUUGUAACAACUUGUAACAUCAUACGGUGGACUGGGUUCUUUACCCUCCUUCCCCUUUAAUAUUGUGCGUAUUCGAGAUUUUUUCCCACCAAAUCCAAUUGAGGCAUUAAAACAAAAGCACUAUGUUAUACCUUAUUAGACGCUCUGUCAAAAUUGAUCUUAAAGAACGCAAAUUCUCUUUUAGAUUUGUGGCGGAUUUGAAGGUAUUCAAAAGCCUAACAUAAGGAUUCCUGAAUACUUUUGAUGUUUAACCCAUAUUAAUUAUUUCUAGGUAUUUAUAUGAUAUCUCUCUAUACCCUAUUAGCCAUUGAUUUCGUUAACACUUUAAUAGGCAUGCUCACCAUGAAGAUCUAUCUCUAGUCUACUACAGAUUCAAGAGUAGGUAUCUUAGAAAUGAGCGAUAUAUAGAGACUGUUAACAAGUUGUAUGCUUAUUUUUUUUCAUUAUGAUAGUUAAAACAGAACUUGUAAAAUAGGUCUAUAAUAACAUGCUAUCAUCUCUUCAUGAAAAGGCCAUUGAACUGUCUAGUUAUAGGGAUUUAUCAUCGUGUAUAAAUUAACAACCUUGUUGUUUUCAUCAUUGGUGAAUGUGUCUUUCAAAUGAUCGAGACUAUUAUUGGUAGCUAAAUGUUGAGUAUCCUAUAAAAUUGAUCUUUCAUCAGCGAUGAAAUGGAUCCUGAGGAUUUUCCCGAGAUAUGUUUCACUCUUUAUGAAAAGAAAUUAUAUAUGGCAAAUAAAAUAUUCACACUACUAGUUAAAUGUUCACACCACUCAUAAGUAACAUAACUAUUUUGUGCUAUACAUCAACUUUUUUAAUACUGAUAUCUAUUGAGUUCUCAAAUGAAAGAUAUUUGUGUAUUUAUGAAAUGUCCAUAUGUUCAAAAUUUAUGGUCAUUGAGUUUUCAAAAAUAUUGAUGCAUCGAAAAAUGUUGUUGCGUUUUUAUAAAUAAAUACUAAGGGUAAAAGUAAUGUAAAUCAAAAUUUAAAUAAACACAACAAUUUUCAUGGAAGCAUAAGGCCUGGGGGAUUAGAUAAUUUGUCAAGCUUUAUUAGGGGUUUGAUGAUUUAUCCCAGGAUUGUUUCAGUGGUUAGUGGCCCCGGCCCCACCCGUCAAUCUCGAUGGGGUGGGGGAUGAUCAAAGUGAAAAGUAAAGUGUGGGUUAAGAUCUAAUUUAUCCAGACCUUAUUCGUUGGAGGAGGUUUAGACGAGAAUAUCCCCAUAGGGCCCGGAAUAAUGAGGAAUCACCGUUGGCCCAUGCCAGCCCCCUCCUCCCUCCACACCAAACCCUCCGAAGACCCAGGUGACGUGUUACAAAAAACUCUAGAAGCCACUCGCGGAACGUGAUGAGACAAGGGCGCUCGCGAUGCUACUGCUAUCGUAUGCGGUUUAACCAAACAAAAAGGAUUUACGAGGAAGAGGGGGGGGGGGUAGGUGGGGACUUGAGGAAAUUAGGUGGAGGGGAGGGAAGACCAAAUCCCCUCCAAAGAAGAAAGGAAAAUAAAAAUAUAGAGAAGGAGAUAAUAAAUAAAUAAAACAAUAACAUAAUAAGGUAGGAAAAAAGCCAAGCAACCCCUAAUUGGCCAUACCAAAAAGGGUCGCUAGCUAAGCAUCCUUAUUUCACACAAUGAGCAUGGAAAACCUUUAAACUUGCACACUUUUUCUUUGCGGGGGAAGCAUGCACAUUUUACAUGCUGAAGCUUAAAUGAAAAUAGACAUGGAAUUCUAUCGAGCCUCUAACACAAAAGCCAAUUAUGGAGGCGUCUAUAUACACACAGGGAGGGAUGGAGGCUUUAGCCUUUUUUGGAAUCCCUCGAAACCCUUACCCACACAUCCCCCGUGCCUAAAUCCAUCCGUCCAAAUAUGGAAGCCCGGCUCACAAUGCUCCUCCCCUAAUAGGGCUAUCUGAAAAACCACGAGGUGAAAAAUGUAAUAUAACUGCAAUAGCGCCAACACACUAUCCCGGCGCCGAUGAUGAUGGUGCUUUUGGUUAGGCCCGGUAAACCACUUCACCAACCGAUCCACUACUUCCACUUUUAUUCAGUGAAACGGAACGGAAAAAAGUUGAAAUGGGCUAGGGGAGUACUUGAUCAUUUCUAAGAUACCUACUCUUGAAUCUAUAGUAGACUAGAGACCGAUCUUCAAUGGCGCUUUUGGUUAAAACAGAACUUGUAAAAUUGGUCUAUAAUAACAUGCUAUCAUCUCUUCAUGAAAAGGCCAUUAAAACGUCUAGUUCCAGGGAUUUAUCAUUGUGUAUAAAUUAACAACCUCAUCGAUUUCAUCAUUGGUGAAUGUGUCUUUCAAAUGAUCGAGACUAUUAUUGGUGGCUAAAUGUUGAGUAUCCUAUAGAAUUGAUCUUUCAUCAACGAUGAAAUGGACCCUGAGGAUUUUCUCGAGAUAUGUUUCACUCUUUAUGAAAAGAUAUUAUAUAUGGCAAAUAAAAUAUUCACACUACUAGUUAAAUGUUCACACCACUCAUAAGUAACAUAACUUUUUUGUGCUAUACAUCAACUUUUUUAAUACUGAUAUCUAUUGAGUUCUCAAAUGAAAGAUAUUUGUGUAUUUAUGAAAUGUCCAUAUGUUCAAAAUUUAUGGUCAUUGAGUUUUCAAAAAUAUUGAUGCAUCGACAAAAUGUUGUUGCGUUUUUAUAAAUAAAUACUAAGGAUAAAAGUAAUGUAAAUCAAAAUUUAAAUAAACACAACAAUUUUCAUGGAAGCAUAAGGCCUGGGGGAUUAGAUAAUUUGUCAAGCUUUAUUAGGGGUUUGAUGAUUUAUCCCAGGAUUGUUUCAGUGGUUAGUGGCCCCGGCCCCACCCGUCAAUCUCGAUGGGGUGGGGGAUGAUCAAAGUGAAAAGUAAAGUGUGGGUUAAGAUCUAAUUUAUCCAGACCUUAUUCGUUGGAGGAGGUUUAGACGAGAAUAUCCCCAUAGGGCCAGGAAUAAUGAGGAAUCACCGUUGGCCCAUGCCAGCCCCCUCCUCCCUCCACACCAACCCCUCCGAAGACCCAGGUGACGUGUUACAGAAAACUCUAGAAGCCACUCGCGGAACGUGAUGAGACAAGGGCGCUCGCGAUGCUACUGCUGUCAUAUGCGGUUUAANNNNNNNNNNNNNNNNNNNNNNNNNNNNNNNNNNNNNNNNNNNNNNNNNNNNNNNNNNNNNNNNNNNNNNNNNNNNNNNNNNNNNNNNNNNNNNNNNNNNNNNNNNNNNNNNNNNNNNNNNNNNNNNNNNNNNNNNNNNNNNNNNNNNNNNNNNNNNNNNNNNNNNNNNNNNNNNNNNNNNNNNNNNNNNNNNNNNNNNNNNNNNNNNNNNNNNNNGGUAGGUGGGGACUUGAGGAAAUUAGGUGGAGGGGAGGGAAGACCAAAUCCCCUCCAAAGAAGAAAGGAAAAUAAAAAUAUAGAGAAGGAGAUAAAAAAUAAAUAAAACAAUAACAUAAUAAUGUAGGAAAAAAAGCCAAGCAACCCCUAAUUGGCCAUACCAAAAAGGGUCGCUAGCUAAGCAUCCUUAUUUCACACAAUGAGCAUGGAAAACCUUUAAACUUGCACACUUUUUCUUUGCGGGGGAAGCAUGCACAUUUUACAUGCUGAAGCUUAAAUGAAAAUAGACAUGGAAUUCUAUCGAGCCUCUAACACAAAAGCCAAUUAUGGAGGCGUCUAUAUACACACAUGGAGGGAUGGAUGCUUUAGCCUUUUUUGGAAUCCCUCGAAACCCUUACCCACACAUCCCCCGUGCCUAAAUCCAUCCGUCCAAAUCUGGAAGCCCGGCUCACAAUGCUCCUCCCCUAAUAGGGCUAUCUGAAAAACCACGAGGUGAAAAAUGUAAUAUAACUGCAAUAGCGCCAACACACUAUCCGGCGCCGAUGAUGAUGGUGCUUUUGGUUAGGCCCGGUAAACCACUUCACCAACCGAUCCACUACUUCCACUUUUAUUCAGUGAAAUGGAACGGAAAAAAGUUGAAAUGGGCUAGGGGAGUACUUGAUCAUUUCUAAGAUACCUACUCUUGAAUCUGUAGUAGACUAGAGAUCGAUCUUCAAUGGUGCUUUUGGUUAAAACAGAACUUGUAAAAUUGGUCUAUAAUAACAUGCUAUCAUCUCUUCAUGAAAAGGCCAUUAAAACGUCUAGUUCCAGGGAUUUAUCAUUGUGUAUAAAUUAACAACCUCCUCGAUUUCAUCAUUGGUGAAUGUGUCUUUCAAAUGAUUGAGACUAUUAUUGGUGGCUAAAUGUUGAGUAUCCUAUAGAAUUGAUCUUUCAUCAACGAUGAAAUGGACCCUGAGGAUUUUCUCGAGAUAUGUUUCACUCUUUAUGAAAAGAUAUUAUAUAUGGCAAAUAAAAUAUUCACACUACUAGUUAAAUGUUCACACCACUCAUAAGUAACAUAACUAUUUUGUGCUAUACAUCAACUUUUUUAAUACUGAUAUCUAUUGAGUUCUCAAAUGAAAGAUAUUUGUGUAUUUAUGAAAUGUCCAUAUGUUCAAAAUUUAUGGUCAUUGAGUUUUCAAAAAUAUUGAUGCAUCAAAAAAUGUUGUUGCGUUUUUAUAAAUAAAUACUAAGGAUAAAAGUAAUGUAAAUCAAAAUUUAAAUAAACACAACAAUUUUCAUGGAAGCAUAAGGCCUGGGGGAUUAGAUAAUUUGUCAAGCUUUAUUAGGGGUUUGAUGAUUUAUCCCAGGAUUGUUUCAGUGGUUAGUGGCCCCGGCCCCACCCGUCAAUCUCGAUGGGGUGGGGGAUGAUCAAAGUGAAAAGUAAAGUGUGGGUUAAGAUCUAAUUUAUCCAGACCUUAUUCGUUGGAGGAGGUUUAGACGAGAAUAUCCCCAUAGGGCCCGGAAUAAUGAGGAAUCACCGUUGGCCCAUGCCAGCCCCCUCCUCCCUCCACACCAACCCCUCCGAAGACCCAGGUGACGUGUUACAGAAAACUCUAGAAGCCACUCGCGGAACGUGAUGAGACAAGGGCGCUCGCGAUGCUACUGCUGUCGUAUGCGGUUUAACCAAACAAAAAGGAUUUACGAGGAAGAGGGGGGGUAGGUGGGGACUUGAGGAAAUUAGGUGGAGGGGAGGGAAGACCAAAUCCCCUCCAAAGAAGAAAGGAAAAUAAAAAUAUAGAGAAGGAGAUAAAAAAUAAAUAAAACAAUAACAUAAUAAGGUAGGAAAAAAAAGCCAAGCAACCCCUAAUUGGCCAUACCAAAAAGGGUCGCUAGCUAAGCAUCCUUAUUUCACACAAUGAGCAUGGAAAACCUUUAAACUUGCACACUUUUUCUUUGCGGGGGAAGCAUGCACAUUUUACAUGUUGAAGCUUAAAUGAAAAUAGACAUGGAAUUCUAUCGAGCCUCUAACACAAAAGCCAAUUAUGGAGGCGUCUAUAUACACACAGGGAGGGAUGGAGGCUUUAGCCUUUUUUGGAAUCCCUCGAAACCCUUACCCACACAUCCCCCGUGCCUAAAUCCAUCCGUCCAAAUCUGGAAUCCCGGCUCACAAUGCUCCUCCCCUAAUAGGGCUAUCUGAAAAACCACGAGGUGAAAAAUGUAAUAUAACUGCAAUAGCGCCAACACACUAUCCCGGCGCCGAUGAUGAUGGUGCUUUUGGUUAGGCCCGGUAAACCACUUCACCAACCGAUCCACUACUUCCACUUUUAUUCAGUGAAACGGAACGGGAAAAAGUUGAAAUGGGCUAGGGGAGUACUUGAUCAUUUCUAAGAUACCUACUCUUGAAUCUGUAGUAGACUAGAGAUCGAUCUUCAAUGGUGCUUUUGGUUAAAACAGAACUUGUAAAAUUGGUCUAUAAUAACAUGCUAUCAUCUCUUGAUGAAAAGGCCAUUAAAACGUCUAGUUCCAGGGAUUUAUCAUUGUGUAUAAAUUAACAACCUCAUCGAUUUCAUCAUUGGUGAAUGUGUCUUUCAAAUGAUCGAGACUAUUAUUGGUGGCUAAAUGUUGAGUAUCCUAUAGAAUUGAUCUUUCAUCAACGAUGAAAUGGACCCUGAGGAUUUUCUCGAGAUAUGUUUCACUCUUUAUGAAAAGAUAUUAUAUAUGGCAAAUAAAAUAUUCACACUACUAGUUAAAUGUUCACACCACUCAUAAGUAACAUAACUAUUUUGUGCUAUACAUCAACUUUUUUAAUACUGAUAUCAAUUGAGUUCUCAAAUGAAAGAUAUUUGUGUAUUUAUGAAAUGUCCAUAUGUUCAAAAUUUAUGGUCAUUGAGUUUUCAAAAAUAUUGAUGCAUCAAAAAAUGUUGUUGCGUUUUUAUAAAUAAAUACUACAUAUAAAAGUAAUUUAAAUCAAAUUUUGAAUAAACAUAACAAUUUUCAUGGAAGCAUAAGGCCUGGGGGAUUAGAUGAAUUGCCACGCUUUAUUAGGGGUUUAAUGAUUUGCCCUAGGAUUGUUUCAAUGGCUAGUGGCCUCGCCCACCCGUCAAUCUCGAGGGGGGGGGGCAAAAAUGAUCAAAGUGAAAAGUAUAGUGUGGGUUAAUAUCUAAUUUCUCCAUAAGGCCUUAUUCGUUAGAAGAGGUUUAGAUGAGAAUAUCCCCAUAGGGCCCAGAAUACCAAGGAAUCACUAUCGGCCCAUGCCAGCCCCUCCCCCCCCCCCACCAACCCCUCUGAAGACCCAGUUGACGUGUUACAGAAAACUCUAGAAGCCACUCACGGAAUGUGAUGAGACAAGGGUGCUCGCGAUGCUACUGCUGUCGUAUGCGGUUUAACCCAACAAAAAGGAUUUACGAGGAAUAGGGAGGGGGAAGGGGAUUAGUGAGGAAUUGAGGAAAUUGGGUGGAGGGGAGGGACGACCAAAUCCCCUCCAAAGGAGGCAUAAAGAAGAAAGGAAAAUAAAAUGCAGAGAAGGAGAUAAAAAAUUAAAUAAAAUAAUAACAUAAGAAGGUAGGGAAAAAAUGACCAAGCAACCCCUAAUUGGCCGUACCAAAAAGGGGCGCUAGUUAACCAUCUUUAUUUCACACAAUGAGCAUGGAAAACCUUUAAACCUGCACACUUUUUCUUUGCAGGAAAACUUGCACAUUUUACAUGCUGAGGCUUAAAUGAAAAUAAGCAUGGAAUUCCACCGAGCCUCUAACCCAAAAGCCAAUUAUGAAGGCGUCUAUAUACAUACAGGGAGGGACGGAGGCUUUAGCCAUUUUUGGAAUCCCCCGAAACCCUUACCCACACCUCCCCCGUGCCCAAAUUCACCCGUCCAAAUCUAGAAGACCAGGCUCACAACGCUCCUCCCCUAACGGAUUAUUUAAAAAAACCACGAGGUGAAAAAUGCAAUACAACUGCAAUUGCGCCAACGCACUAUCCCGGCUCUAUUUUUUGCUACGAGUAUGCACACCUCUGGUUAUAAUUUCUGCCAUCAAGGACUUCCCUAGCCCAUUUCAACUUUUUAUCUUCAUUUAUAUGAAAAAGCACUCCGCCAGCAAGUAAUGGAUCAGAGUUGGUGAAGUAGCUUAUCGGGCCUAACCAAAAGCACCGUCAUCAUCGGGCGUCUUAACUAUCUCAUCAAUGGCAAUAAAAACUUCUUACCAGUACCAUCAAUCCAGUGACCAGGCGUCGUGCUGUAGCUGAGAUGGAACGACCAGCUCGCCGCCAGCACCUAGAUAAGCAGGAGUAGAUAGAUAGAUAGAUGCCCCGGUUGAAAGGAUAACCAUCGGCGCCGCCCGCGAGUAGUAGCCGUGGCGUGCCAUCCGUUCGUGGUUACCACCAGAAAUGCAUUGUUAAGCCGGGUUAACCACGCGAAUUUGUUCACUCAGAGGACUCAUCCGUUCGGGUUAGCCGUGGUUUCGCUCCGUGAUGCCGUCACCGUGAUGGCAGAUUCUACCGAGGCAGGCGCAAAAAACAAAAAAGAGAAUCGAAUCCCCUCGCGAGUACCACUACCACCGGAUAAAAAGAUGCCCUAUCCCCGGGGCCCGCCUGCCAUUGGGACCAGGAUGGCCGCAGAACACUUGCGUACAACGGGACAGAGGGACUCUUGCGCGCAGCCCCCUGGAGUUCUUCUCAAUCACGGAUGGGUCCCAUUUCCCUCUCCUCGCCACGGGCCGCGGCCGCUAUAUAAAGCGGCAGGCAUCCGGAGCACGGAGACACACGCAGAGAGAGCGAGAGACCCGCCGCCCCACCCCCCUCACCCGCCGCCGCCCCGUGCGUCCCGUCCGUUCGGUCCGUUAGGGCUUCGGCCGUCCGCCAUGGCGAUCCUCGGGGAGCUCGGGACCGAGAUCCUCAUCCCCGUCUGCGGGGUCGUCGGCAUCGUCUUCGCCGUCGCGCAGUGGUUCAUCGUCUCCAAGGUCAAGGUCACCCCCGGCGCCGCCUCCGCCGCCGGCGGCGGCAAGAACGGCUACGGCGACUACCUCAUCGAGGAGGAGGAGGGCCUCAACGACCACAACGUCGUCGUCAAGUGCGCCGAGAUCCAGACCGCCAUCUCUGAAGGUGAGAAGCAUCCUCCGCCUCCUCCACCGCCCGGGUGGUCCCCCCUCCCCCCCUCUCACUCUCUCCCCAGAUCUGGGGCGGCCGUUGCUCGGCGGGAGCAGAUCCGCCCGUUUCGCGGCCGUUUCUCCGGCGGAAGCGGCCGCGCUUCGAGCGCGGACAAUGUUUGAAACUGCCGGAUAUUCUUUACUGUACAAAGUAGAAUCUCGCCUAGGCAGCCUUAAUUUUUCAGGGCCAAAUGGCUCGGUUUGUGGCCGUCCGUUGGCUCAUUUCGUCGAUUCCGGCGCUGAUCUGAGCGGGGAACUUUCGAAUUUCAGCUCCCCGAGUGUUUUUUCCUCUUCAUGGAAGGAUAAAACCAUGAGAAAGCUGAGCUGUAGCCAUGCUAAAAGCUCUUCCUUGCUUCCUUUUAUGCAAAAGGAAACCGAAUCCGGGCGCCGGAGCUUUUGAUUCGCCCGUGGGCGCUGCAGAACAGUGUCGUUUUCCCUAAGAUAUAUUUGUCGCUCCCGGCUUAGUUCCAAAUCUGCAGGAUUUGAAAGUUGGCCCCUUUGACACUUUUGUUUGCUACGCUAGUAAAUUUUUGUUUAUGUGGGGCUAGGAAAGCCUAGCAAAAUCACCAUCUUCCAUUUUUUAAAUCUGAAUGAAAUGAAAAUUGACAUCAGAUGCCUGUGUUUGGUGCCAGAUCAAGGCUUCAAUAAACAGUUCUUUUAAUGCCUUGAGCGGUGCCCGUGUUCUGCGUCGGUGCUGUAGUAAAGAUGCAGCUUUCAGUGAGCAACUGCACAUCUCUACCGUCGCUGUCUUAUUUUAAUUAGAAGAGUAUCAUACUCGCUUGCUGGUGGAAGGCGCGUGAUGGAUCUGCCAGACGCAGCAAGCUGGACACGUUGCGAGCUGCCUUGACUUAGCUCACUCCACUGCCCUGGGUAGGCAGAUCCAGACCUGAAACGUCAGGCUCAUGGAUAAGGAUCCCGGCCAUCUGUCACUGACGUGUCGUCAGUUUGCCGCUAGCCUUGUGAGAUUGCCAUCUCCAUCUGCCUAACCCUCAUCGGAUGCGUGUCCUGUUUCUUGGGGUUUGGUGAUUGGUGUCACCGAUUUGUUUCUUCUUUGAUUGGGACGUGUACAGUGGAAGAUCUGCUCUUGGAAUUGUCCGCUGGGAUAGGAUUGGGUGCGUGGCCUGCUGCUCUUCCCCAGAUGUAAGACGGCAGUGGGUGGUAGAUAUUUGUUUCUCCGUGUGUCAGUCUCUAGGUAGAUCCUAUUUCGUUACUUACUAAUUUCAGGAAGGUACAAUUGAACCGAGGUUAUCUAAUAAUGUAAUAAUAUGUGCACUGCUAGCUGUAAUGAAAAGUUGGCUUUAUUUAAUAUAACUAUUUAGUUUGGUCAUAUGAGUUAUGUGUAACAGUUAACUUUUAUUGUGAACAGGAGCAACCUCAUUUCUUUUCACCAUGUACCAGUAUGUUGGUAUGUUCAUGGUCGUCUUUGCUGCGGUUAUCUUCGUCUUCCUUGGGUCGAUUGAGGGAUUCAGCACAAAGGGCCAGCCCUGCACCUACAGCACGGGCACCUGCAAGCCAGCUCUCUACACCGCUCUCUUCAGCACUGCGUCUUUCUUGCUUGGAGCCAUCACAUCUCUGGUGUCUGGUUUCCUUGGGAUGAAGAUCGCCACAUACGCCAAUGCCAGGACGACCCUGGAAGCAAGGAAGGGUGUUGGGAAGGCAUUUAUCACCGCUUUCCGCUCUGGUGCAGUCAUGGGCUUCUUGUUGUCAUCAAGUGGGCUUGUGGUUCUUUACAUCACCAUCAAUGUGUUCAAGAUGUACUACGGUGAUGACUGGGAAGGUCUUUUUGAGUCCAUCACUGGUUAUGGUCUGGGUGGGUCUUCCAUGGCUCUAUUCGGAAGAGUUGGUGGAGGUAUCUACACCAAGGCUGCUGACGUGGGUGCUGACCUUGUUGGCAAAGUUGAGAGGAACAUUCCUGAAGAUGACCCAAGGAACCCAGCUGUGAGUUCACUUCUCACUUCUCAGCUUUUGGCUAAUCGUUUUAGGCAAAUUACAAUUUAUACUGUGACUGUUAUGCUUCAUGGCAUAUCCUUUGCUGAACUUUAAACUCUUGUUUGCAGGUAAUUGCUGACAACGUCGGUGACAAUGUUGGUGAUAUUGCUGGGAUGGGAUCAGAUCUCUUUGGUUCAUACGCAGAAUCGUCCUGCGCUGCUCUUGUUGUUGCUUCUAUCUCAUCUUUUGGAAUCAACCAUGAUUUCACUGCGAUGUGCUACCCACUGCUCGUGAGCUCUGUUGGCAUCAUUGUUUGCUUGCUCACCACCCUGUUUGCGACUGAUUUCUUUGAGAUCAAGGCUGCAAGCGAAAUUGAACCUGCUCUGAAGAAGCAGCUCAUCAUCUCCACUGCUUUAAUGACUAUCGGUGUUGCGGUGAUCAGCUGGUUGGCUCUCCCAGCUAAGUUCACCAUCUUCAACUUCGGUGCUCAGAAGGACGUGUCCAACUGGUAAUUUAUUUGUCAAUAUUUUUACUCAAUUUGCAAUGUUGUACUCGCUUCUGAUUAUGCUCUCUUGGUUUCACAGGGGCCUGUUCUUCUGUGUGGCAGUUGGUCUGUGGGCUGGUCUGAUUAUUGGGUUUGUGACCGAAUACUACACUAGCAAUGCCUACAGGUAAGGAACCCAUUAGUUUCUAGUUAUAUUAUUGUUCAUAUUUUGUGUUAUGGUGUCUUAUCCCCCAAUUAGUUUCUAGUUAUAUUAUUGUUCAUAUUUUGUGUUACGGUGUCUUAUCCCCCAAUUAUUUCCUUGUGGCAGCCCUGUGCAAGAUGUUGCCGAUUCCUGCAGAACUGGUGCUGCCACCAACGUCAUCUUCGGUCUUGCCCUUGGUUACAAGUCAGUCAUCAUCCCAAUUUUCGCUAUUGCUGUCAGCAUCUACGUCAGCUUCUCUAUUGCUGCAAUGUACGGCAUUGCAAUGGCUGCUCUUGGCAUGCUUAGCACAAUGGCAACUGGUCUUGCUAUCGAUGCUUAUGGUCCCAUUAGUGACAAUGCUGGUGGAAUUGCUGAGAUGGCUGGCAUGAGCCACAGAAUCCGUGAGAGGACUGAUGCUCUUGAUGCUGCUGGCAACACAACCGCUGCUAUUGGAAAGGUAAAUUUUCCUGCUCUACAUUUGUUGGGUAACUCCUUUUUGACUUGACUACUGUUGUUUUUUGCCACAUUGAGAAGUUAAAAGUAUUUGAUAAGAUGGGCUAUUUGAUUAUUGCGGAAUUAGGCAGUGGGUGAUGGGUUUGUAGUGAAAGCCACUUUAUUGGUUAUGUAACUCACUCUUUGCAUAUAAUGUUGCAGGGUUUCGCCAUUGGAUCAGCUGCUCUUGUGUCCCUGGCACUUUUUGGUGCCUUCGUCAGCAGAGCUGGUGUGAAGGUCGUUGAUGUCCUAUCUCCCAAGGUGUUCAUUGGCCUGAUUGUCGGAGCCAUGCUUCCGUACUGGUUCUCUGCCAUGACCAUGAAGAGUGUUGGAAGUGCUGCUCUCAAGAUGGUUGAGGAGGUCCGCAGGCAGUUCAAUACCAUCCCUGGACUGAUGGAGGGAACUGCCAAGCCCGACUAUGCCACCUGUGUCAAGAUCUCCACUGAUGCUUCCAUCAGGGAGAUGAUUCCUCCGGGUGCUUUGGUCAUGCUCACCCCCCUCAUUGUCGGAACCCUCUUUGGCGUGGAAACCCUGUCUGGUGUUCUUGCUGGUGCCCUUGUUUCUGGAGUACAGGUAUCCUAGUGCUCUCCCCUUGCUUCCUGGGGAGUACCUCUGAAUCCGUUUAUUCUAGGCAUUUACCUAGUUCCUUACUUACAGAUCGCCAUCUCUGCUUCCAACACCGGCGGUGCAUGGGACAACGCAAAGAAGUACAUUGAGGUAAAUAUUCUCAGAAGCCCUGAUUGUUGAUUUCCUUUUGACUUUAUAUUGAUGAGCCAAUGUAUUGAUCAUGUCUCUUAACUUUGUCAUCAACUUCUUCGCUACUUGUUUCAGGCCGGCAACAGCGAGCACGCGAGGUCCCUUGGCCCCAAGGGUUCAGACUGCCACAAGGCGGCCGUGAUCGGCGACACCAUCGGAGACCCCCUCAAGGACACCUCAGGCCCGUCGCUCAACAUCCUCAUCAAGCUGAUGGCCGUCGAGUCCCUCGUGUUCGCGCCCUUCUUCGCCACGUACGGAGGUGUGCUGUUCAAGUACAUCUAGAAGACUCGUCGAGCGGACUUAGAAUCUACGGACACCAUCACGAAUAACUCUGCCCCGCCCGCCCGCCGUUCGUAUGUUGUGCGCUGCUGUUAUUUUUGGUUCUUGUGUCAUUAUUCCAGGAUUGCCGCAGUUUACCCCCACUUUCCCUUUGGCCUCUUGGGUGUGUUACGUUAGUCUCACCAUUACCGGCUUGUAGCUCCAUGUAGUAGAAGAGAGAGACCAGAUGUCCUCGGUCAUUAUUGGUAUGUGUCUGGCAAAUUUUCCUCGUCCCGUGAUGACGACGAUAAUGUUUGAACCCUUGAACAAUGAUAUCAUGACGAUUGUUGCAUCAUCUCACCUAUGCCGAGUCUUUAUUCUUAUUCAGCUGAUCUGUGUGCACCUGUGACUUGCUGCUCGAUCUGCAUAAGAUCAGCUAGAUAGAAGUGCUAGUUCAGAAUGUAGGAAUGUUCUGAUCUUGUGUGAAA
rnacentral:lncRNA from 1 species